rnacentral:misc_RNA from 1 species
CCCAGACCUACUUGUGGUGAGGAAUCACCAAGAACUCACCAUUUUGCCCUAAUCGCAAUCCAUUCGCGAGAUCGGAUCGGAGAUGGCGGAGGAGGGAGCAGUGAUCCACUGCCACACUUUUGAUGAAUGGACUCAACAGUUUGACGAGGCCAAGCAGUGCAAGAAGUUGGUGGUGAUUGAUUUCACUGCAAAAUGGUGUGGACCUUGCCGUAUGAUCGCCCCCCUCUUUGCUGAGCUGGCUAAGAAGCAUGUCAAUGCUAUUUUCCUCAAAGUCGAUGUCGAUGAAUUGAAGUCGGUGGCCAACGAUUUUGUGAUAGAAGCAAUGCCGACCUUUAUUUUCCUUGAAGGAAGGAACCAUCGUGGAGAGGGUUGUUGGAGCCCACAAGGAUGAUCUGCCGAAGAAGAUCGAACAGCUGCUCCUGAGUAAGUAGUGACCCUUCUUGCCUUGCUUAACUCUAUGCUUGUUUGUGGAAUAAGGGAUUUAGACUAUGGUUUUAAGUUCCUGGUGAUGAUGUUUAAGUAUGCUUGUUUGUGGAAUAAGGGAUUUAGACUAUGGUUUUAAGUUCCUGGUGAUGAUGUUUAAG